AUUGAACGCUGGCGGCAUGCUUUACACAUGCAAGUCGAACGGUAACAGGGAGCUUGCUCCGCUGACGAGUGGCGAACGGGUGAGUAAUGCGUCGGAACGUGCCGAGUAGUGGGGGAUAACGCAUCGAAAGGUGUGCUAAUACCGCAUACGAACUGAGGUUGAAAGUGGGGGACCUUCGGGCCUCACGCUAUUCGAGCGGCCGGCGUCUGAUUAGCUAGUUGGCGAGGUAAAGGCUCACCAAGGCGACGAUCAGUAGCGGGUCUGAGAGGAUGAUCCGCCACACUGGGACUGAGACACGGCCCAGACUCCUACGGGAGGCAGCAGUGGGGAAUUUUGGACAAUGGGCGCAAGCCUGAUCCAGCCAUGCCGCGUGUCUGAAGAAGGCCUUCGGGUUGUAAAGGACUUUUGUCCGGGAGCAAAUGCUGGUGGCUAACAUCCACCGGAGCUGAGAGUACCGGAAGAAUAAGCACCGGCUAACUACGUGCCAGCAGCCGCCGUAAGAC
rnacentral:rRNA from 1 species